CCUACGGGCGGCUGCAGUGGGGAAUAUUGGACAAUGGGCGAAAGCCUGAUCCAGCCAUGCCGCGUGUGUGAAGAAGGCCUUCGGGUUGUAAAGCACUUUCAGUGGGGAAGAAAGCCUUGGGGCUAAUACCCUCGAGGAAGGACAUCACCCACAGAAGAAGCACCGGCUAACUCCGUGCCAGCAGCCGCGGUAAUACGGAGGGUGCGAGCGUUAAUCGGAAUUACUGGGCGUAAAGCGCGCAUAGGCGGUCUGAUAAGCCGGUUGUGAAAGCCCCGGGCUCAACCUGGGAACGGCAUCCGGAACUGUCAGGCUAGAGUGCAGGAGAGGAAGGUAGAAUUCCCGGUGUAGCGGUGAAAUGCGUAGAGAUCGGGAGGAAUACCAGUGGCGAAGGCGGCCUUCUGGACUGACACUGACGCUGAGGUGCGAAAGCGUGGGUAGCAAACAGGAUUAGAUACCCCUGUAGUC
rnacentral:rRNA from 1 species